rnacentral:rRNA from 1 species
GAUGAACGCUGGCGGCGUGCCUAAUACAUGCAAGUCGAGCGAACAGAUGAGGAGCGUGCUCCUCUGACGUUAGCGGCGGACGGGUGAGGAACACGUGGAUAACCGACCUAUAAGACUGGGAUAAGUUCGGGAAACCGGAGCUAAUACCGGAUAAGAGAGUGAACCGCAUGGUUCAAUAGUGAAAGACGGUUUUGCUGUCACUUAUAGAUGGAUCCGCGCCGCAUUAGCUAGUUGGUAAGGUAACGGCUUACCAAGGCAACGAUGCGUAGCCGACCUGAGAGGGUGAUCGGCCACACUGGAACUGAGACACGGUCCAGACUCCUACGGGAGGCAGCAGUAGGGAAUCUUCCGCAAUGGGCGAAAGCCUGACGGAGCAACGCCGCGUGAGUGAUGAAGGUCUUCGGAUCGUAAAACUCUGUUAUUAGGGAAGAACAAAUGUGUAAGUAACUCUGCACGUCUUGACGGUACCUAAUCAGAAAGCCACGGCUAACUACGUG